rnacentral:rRNA from 1 species
CCUACGGGUGGCAGCAGUGAGGAAUAUUGGUCAAUGGACGAGAGUCUGAACCAGCCAAGUAGCGUGAAGGAUGACUGCCCUAUGGGUUGUAAACUUCUUUUAUAUGGGAAUAAAAUGUUCCACGUGUGGGAUUUUGUAUGUACCAUAUGAAUAAGGAACGGCUCACUCCGUGCCAGCAGCCGAGGUAAUACGGAGGAUCCGAGCGUUAUCUGGAUUGAUUGGGUUUAAAGGGAGCGUAGGUGGAUUGUUAAGUCAGGUGUGAAAGUUUGCGGCUCAACCGUAAAAUUGCAGUUGAAACUGGAAGUCUUGAGUACAGUAGAGGUGGGCGGAAUUCGUGGUGUAGCGGUGAAAUGCUUAGAGAUCUCGAAGAACUCCGAUUGCGAAGGCAGCUCACUGGACUGUAACUGACACUGAGUCUCGAAAGUGUGGGUAUCAAACAGGAUUAGAUACCCGGGUAGUC